ensembl:lncRNA
UUUCUUUGACAUCUGUAUUCUAGGUGAUGUAGUGGUGUAAUAAUGUGUUGUAUUGUAGGUGAUGUAUUGGUGUAAUAAUGUGUUGUAUUGUAGAUAUGUAGUGGUGUAAUAAUGUGUUGUAUUCUAGGUGAUGUGGUGGUGUAAUAAUGUGUUGUAUUGUAGGUGAUGUAUUGGUGUAAUAAUGUGUUGUAUUGUAGAUAUGUAGUGGUGUAAUAAUGUGUUGUAUUCUAGGUGAUGUAGUGGUGUAAUAAUGUGAUGUAGUGGUGUAAUAAUGUGUUGUAUUGUAGGUGAUGUAGUGGUGUAAUAAUGUGUUGUAUUGUAUGUGAUGUAGUGGUGUAAUAAUGUGAUGUAUUGUAUGUGAUGUAGUGGUGUAAUAAUGUGUUGUAUUGUAGGUGAUGUAGUGGUGUAAUAAUGUGUUGUAUUGUAGGUGAUGUAGUGGUGGAAUAAUGUGUUGUAUUGUAUGUGAUGUAGUGGUGUAAUAAUGUGAUGUACUGUAGGUGAUGUAGUGGUGUUGUAUUGUAGGUGAUGUAGUGGUGUAAUAAUGUGAUGUAUUGUAUGUGAUGUAGUGGUGUAAUAAUGUGUUGUAUUGUAGGUGAUGUAGUGGUGUUGUAUUGUAGGUGAUGUAGUGGUGUAAUAAUGUGUUGUAUAUGUGAUGUAGUGGUGUAAUAAUGUGCCUUAAGGCUCAGAACAUUCUUAGUCAAAGGUCAGGAAUUAACAGUGACCCAUUAAGCCAUGCAGAGACAUUCUCCAUCAGCAUGCCAGCUUUCCAUGUCAAAUUUGUCCUCAUUCAGUGCUGCCAGACAAAAAUGCAUCCAGUUACACGUUUUUUGAUGUUGUGGCUAUUGUAAUCGACUCUAAGGCAAGUGGGCUCAGACACUGAAAACGGUAUGUUUUUCCAGGCAAAGGUUCCUCUCUGGAUUGUAUAUAUACAGCUCUUGCGAUUAUUUUAGGGGAUGUGACAAAUGUAAAAAUGUCCUUAAGGUUUAACCAGACUUUUUUCUCUCUCAUUUAAUCAUUUGUAAUAAAAUCAUAGGAUAACGUGAAUUCAAAAUUCAGAUACGAUCGCCUAUGACCACUAGGGGGCAAUUCAUUUCAAUGUACCGUUGUCUCGACCACCUACCAGCUAGAUGGCGCUCACCUUACUGCUGUCCCCGACCCACUCAGCAACAAUGGUAUUAAUGCCGAUUUAGGUUCUCUGUUGUGUUCCUUUCCUCCAUGUUCUCAGUGGUCAGUACUUCUCAUCAAGGUAUCAAGGUCGUUGCAGUGAUG